rnacentral:rRNA from 1 species
GAUGAACGCUGGCGGCGUGCUUAACACAUGCAAGUCGAACGGAAAGGCUCCUGCUUGCAGGGGUACUCGAGUGGCGAACGGGUGAGUAACACGUGGGUGAUCUGUCCUGCACUUCGGGAUAAGCCUGGGAAACUGGGUCUAAUACCGGAUAGGACGAUGGUUUGGAUGCCAUUGUGGAAAGUUUUUCGGUGUGGGAUGAGCUCGCGGCCUAUCAGCUUGUUGGUGGGGUAAUGGCCUACCAAGGCGUCGACGGGUAGCCGGCCUGAGAGGGUGUACGGCCACAUUGGGACUGAGAUACGGCCCAGACUCCUACGGGAGGCAGCAGUGGGGAAUAUUGCACAAUGGGCGCAAGCCUGAUGCAGCGACGCCGCGUGGGGGAUGACGGCCUUCGGGUUGUAAACUCCUUUCGCUAGGGACGAAGCGCAAGUGACGGUACCUGGAGAAGAAGCACCGGCUAACUACGUG